rnacentral:rRNA from 1 species
AGAGUUUGAUCCUGGCUCAGGAUGAACGCUGGCGGCGUGCCUAAUACAUGCAAGUCGAACGCGGGGCAGCAAUGCUCCGAGUGGCGAACGGGUGAGUAACGCGUUGGUGACCUGCCCCGAAGUGUGGGAUACCAGGCCGAAAGGCUUGCUAAUACCGCAUGGUCAACCGGGAGAUUAGAAGCCUGGUUGUAAAGGAUGAUGCUCGUAAGAGCGCAUCCGCUUUGGGAGGGGCCUGCGUCCCAUCAGCUAGUUGGUAAGGUAACGGCUUACCAAGGCGAUGACGGGUAGGGGACCUGAGAGGGUGACCCCCCACAAUGGAACUGAAACACGGUCCAUACACCUACGGGCGGCAGCAGUAGGGAAUAUUGCUUAAUGGGCGAAAGCCUGAAGCAGCAACGCCGCGUGCGCGAUGAAGGCCUUCGGGUUGUAAAGCGCUUUUGGCUGGGAAGAGGAAGGACGGUACCAGCAGAAUAAGCCUCGGCUAACUACGUGCCAGCAGCCGCGGUAAAACGUAGGAGGCGAGCGUUAUCCGGAUUUACUGGGUGUAAAGCGCGUGCAGGCGGUUGGCUAAGUUGGAUGUGAAAGCUCCUGGCUUAACUGGGAGAGGUCGUUCAAUACUGGUCGACUGGAGAGCAGUAGGGGAAGGUGGAAUUCCGGGAGUAGUGGUGAAAUGCGUAGAUAUCCGGAGGAACACCAGUGGCGAAAGCGGCCUUCUGGACUGCAUCUGACGCUCAGACGCGAAAGCUAGGGUAGCAAACGGGAUUAGAGACCCCGGUAGUCCUAGCCGUAAACGAUGUGAACUUGGCGUUGAGCGGGUAAAACCGCCCAGUGCCGAAGCAAACGCGAUAAGUUCACCACCUGGGGACUACGGCCGCAAGGUUAAAACUCAAAGGAAUUGAUGG